AUGUGUCUGAGGCAGGUCUUCCUGACACCAGGCCCAGAGGUCUGUGCCUUUAACUCUUUGAAAAAGAAUUGUCCAGAAAAGAACUGAACAGUUAUUAUUCUAGAAUGUUAUUAUAUUUUAACAUGUUAUCUUUUUUCCUUGUUCAAGGUUUCAUAGUGUUUUGGGGAAGAAAGGAUAUGUGCGAUGGCAUGAGAGACUGUUUGGACAUUUUUUUCUCUUUAAGUGUUGCCAUUUACCUGAAUGGUAAUGUUUAAUAAAAGUCAGCAUCAGACCUAAGACUGCUUCUCUUUGAAAGACAUCCAUGGCCACCGGAAGUUUUUCAGAAAAGAAUCAUCAAAGUUCAGUACCAGGACAAAGAUCAAGAUGACCAAGAUGACCUGGGAUGCGAUGGAUGACCCUCGGUAUCGUGUCUGACCAAGCUCUAAACACUUCACAGUACCUUCAUCGCCACUGGAACCCAGGCGUGCAGCUAAAGUAAACACUGAAUGUCCACCUUGGAAAAAGUUAGGGGGACCUCAGACUGGGGAACAAUGUCUCUAUCCUUAGAAAAGCUGACAUUUGAGCUCCCCCAUCAGAGAAUUAAAAGAUGCAAAUUCUUCAACAACAUGAUUAGACCAGAAAUUUUUCAGAGGCUUCUCUUUUAAUCUAAAUUAAAAAUAUACUGUCUGGAUUUUUGAUUACAUGAAUA